rnacentral:rRNA from 1 species
UCCCAAAGUCAUAGUUAAGUGGGAAACGAUGUGGGAAGGCCCAGACAGCCAGGAUGUUGGCUUAGAAGCAGCCAUCAUUUAAAGAAAGCGUAAUAGCUCACUGGUCGAGUCGGCCUGCGCGGAAGAUGUAACGGGGCUAAACUAUGCACCGAAGCUGCGGCAGCGACACUAUGUGUUGUUGGGUAGGGGAGCGUUCUGUAAGCCUGUGAAGGUGUGUCGUGAGGCAUGCUGGAGGUAUCAGAAGUGCGAAUGCUGACAUAAGUAACGAUAAAGCGGGUGAAAAGCCCGCUCGCCGGAAGACCAAGGGUUCCUGUCCAACGUUAAUCGGGGCAGGGUGAGUCGACCCCUAAGGCGAGGCCGAAAGGCGUAGUCGAUGGGAAACGGGUUAAUAUUCCCGUACUUGGUGUUACUGCGAAGGGGGGACGGAGAAGGCUAUGUUGGCCGGGCGACGGUUGUCCCGGUUUAAGCGUGUAGGUGUGUGUUCCAGGUAAAUCCGGUU